rnacentral:rRNA from 1 species
CAGUGUGAUUCGUCACACUAUCAUUAACUGAAUCCAUAGGUUAAUGAGGCGAACCGGGGGAACUGAAACAUCUAAGUACCCCGAGGAAAAGAAAUCAACCGAGAUUCCCCCAGUAGCGGCGAGCGAACGGGGAGCAGCCCAGAGCCUGAAUCAGUGUGUGUGUUAGUGGAAGCGUCUGGAAAGGCGCGCGAUACAGGGUGACAGCCCCGUACACAAAAAUGCACAUGCUGUGAGCUCGAUGAGUAGGGCGGGACACGUGGUAUCCUGUCUGAAUAUGGGGGGACCAUCCUCCAAGGCUAAAUACUCCUGACUGACCGAUAGUGAACCAGUACCGUGAGGGAAAGGCGAAAAGAACCCCGGCGAGGGGAGUGAAAAAGAACCUGAAACCGUGUACGUACAAGCAGUGGGAGCACAGAGCAAUCUGUGUGACUGCGUACCUUUUGUAUAAUGGGUCAGCGACUUAUAUUCUGUAGCAAGGUUAACCGAAUAGGGGAGCCGAAGGGAAACCGAGUCUUAACUGGGCGUUAAGUUGCAGGGUAUAGACCCGAAACCCGGUGAUCUAGCCAUGGGCAGGUUGAAGGUUGGGUAACACUAACUGGAGGACCGAACCGACUAAUGUUGAAAAAUUAGCGGAUGACUUGUGGCUGGGGGUGAAAGGCCAAUCAAACCGGGAGAUAGCUGGUUCUCCCCGAAAGCUAUUUAGGUAGCGCCUCGUGAAUUCAUCUCCGGGGGUAGAGCACUGUUUCGGCAAGGGGGUCAUCCCGACUUACCAACCCGAU